UUCAACCACAAACAUAUGCUGAGUCAGCAAAUACAAUCCCUGUUUACAUAUGAGUUGGGAAAUUGUGUUAGAUGUAAAUAUAAACGGAAUACAAUGAUUUGCAAAUCAUUUUCAACCAAUAUUCAGUUGAAUAUGCUACAAAGACAACAUAUUUGAUGUUCAAACUGAUAAACGUUUUUUAUUUGCAAAUAAUCAUUAACUUUAGAAUUUGAUGCCAGCAACACAUGACAAAGAAGUUGGGAAAGGUGGCAAUAAAUUCUGAUAUAGUUGAGGAAUGCUCAUCAAACACUUAUUUGGAACAUCCCACAGGUGUGCAGGCUAAUUUGGAACAGGUGGGUGCCAUGAUUGGGUAUAAAAACAGCUUCCCAAAAAAUGCUCAGUCUUUUACAAUAAAGGAUGGGGCGAGGUACACCCCUUUUUCCACAACUGCGUGAGCAAAUAGUCAAACAGUUUAAGAACAACGUUUCUCAAAGUGCAAUUGCAAGAAAUUUAGGGAUUUUAACAUCUACGGUCCAUAAUAUCAUCAAAAGAUUCAGAGAAUCUGGAGAAAUCACUCCACGUAAGACGCAUGGCCGGAAACCAACAUUGAAUGACCGUGACUUUCCAUCCCUCAGACUGUAUCAAAAACGGACAUCAAUCUCUUAAGGAUAUCACCACAUGGGCUCAGGAACACUUCAGAAAACCACUUUUACUAAAUACAGUUUGUCGCUACAUCUGUAAGUGCAAGGUAAAGCUCUACUAUGCAAAGCGAAAGCCAUUUAUCAACAACAUCUAGAAACGCCGCCGGCUUCUCUGGGCCCUAGAUCAUCUAAGAUGGACUGAUACAGAGUGGAAAAGUGUUCUGUGGUCUGACGAGUCCACAUUUCAAAUUGUUUAUGGAAAUAUUCGACAUCUUGUCUUCCAGACUGUUAUCGACGCACAAUUCAAAAGCCAGCAUCUGUGAUGGUAUGGGGGUGCAUUAGUGCCCAAAGCAUGGGUAACUUACACAUCUGCGAAGGCACCAUUAAUGCUGAAAGCAAGGCAAUGCCAAGCCACAUUCAGCACGUGUUACAACAGCGUGGCUUCGUAAAAAAAGAGUGCAGGUACUUUCCUGGCCCACCUGCAGUCCAGACCUGUCUCCCAUCGAAAAUGUGUGGCGCAUUAUGAAGCGUAAAAUACGACAGCGGAGACCCCGGACUGUUGAUCGACUGAAGCUCUACAUAAAACAAGAAUGGGAAAGAAUUCUACUUUCAAAGCUUCAACAAUUAGUUUCUUCAGUUCCCAAACGCUUUUUGAGUGUUGUUAAAAGAAAAGGUGAUGUAACACAGUGGUGAACAAGCCCUUUCCCAACUACUUUGGCACGUGUUGCAGCCCUGAAAUUCUAAGUUCAUUAUUAUUUGCAAAAAAAAAAUAAAGUUUAUGAGUUUGACAUCAAA